UUCAGUGUAAAGAUUUUUUAUUUCCUUCAUAAGUGUCUGAUGGAGAAAGAGUCAUUUAAGCAAAUCCUAGUGGAAAGUGGAGGACUGUCACCAUGGUGCAGCUGGAGUAGGGCCACAGCCCCUGUCCUCACCGGCGAGCAUGUCCAGGCCAGGUGAAUUUAAAUACCUGAAAUGCUUGUGGAAUGCUAUUCGGCCCGGAAGCAGCUUUAGAGGGGAAAUUCAUUUAUGUCUGAUACAAGCUUUUCAAUUUGUGUUUGUAUCCAUUCAAACAAGCAUCUGCACAGGUAGACACCGGCGAGGAAGGAGAGCAGAGAGCAUUUCUCUGCCCACAUCUCUGGGUCAGACACAGCUGGAAUUGCGACUCUAGAUGUUCAGCAUCUAUCAGCACCCCAACACAGCCCUGUCCACACCAUGUUCCAGAAGCCAUCAUGGUGUGGGUUUCUGUUUCAUUCCUGGUUAAUUCUGACUUUCUCAGAAUUCCCAACCCCACGAAGGUGAGGCCUUGACCUUCUCUACGGAGCUCUGUAUCUCCAUAGUCUAAAGCAAUGUAUGCUGGUUAGAAGCUUCCUGCACGUACUGAAUCGAUGAAAGCUAAAAGUAUUGAACACAG